CAGUACCACUGUCACCAGGGACCUGGGAUCCCACUGGACAAACUGUGCGACUUCAGUACAGACUGUCCCCUCGGCGAUGACGAAGGCAACCUAUGUCGCCACUUCCUCAAUGGCAGCUACUGCUCUUUUGAAGAGGGCGAGUGCAGUUGGCAGUCAAUAACGGGCCACGGUCUCUCCUGGAGAAGACUCCAGUCGCCAGCAAAGGCUACUAGACAGAGCUGCCCAUCAUCAGGUGCUACAUUCAGUGUGGAAGGAGGCCAGUCCAAAGCCCAGCGUGGCUCAGCAAUACUUAGGAGCCCUCUCUUCCCCCCUCCCCUAAGAAACUCCCCAUGCACGGUGCGAUUCUGGCUGUGUUCUGGAGGCUUACAGAGGGGGUCGCUGUCUCUGUGGAUAGCAGAGAACAGUACAGGCCCUGAGGAGCAGCGCAG
rnacentral:lncRNA from 1 species